CUCGCGGCAGGGGUUGUCCCUCAGUCCAGAUUGCGAGAGGGUGCAGGCCAGGCUGAGGGACCCCACUGGUGCACG
rnacentral:pre_miRNA from 1 species